GGCGGAGGCCACGAACUGCCUGCCGCCUUCGCCUUCGCCAGCCUCGCCUAACGCUCCUCAGCCGCCGCCCAUGUAGCAGCAGUAGGUGAGAAGCGCUGCAGGUCAGGCAGCAGGCUCAGCCACGGAGUGGGACUGUCUCUGGGAGUGGGUUCCCACAACACGGCUGACCCAGUCUAGAGAGAGAAGCAUAAAUGAUUGGAGAUCCAGUGCCAGAUUGUCAAGGGAACUGAACCCUAACUGCAUAAGAAGUGCCAUCCUUCAACAAACUUCACCCAACUUCACAAUGGCUAACAGGCUAAAAUGAAGUACAGUCUUGAAGAAGAAC
rnacentral:lncRNA from 1 species